GACGAACGCUGGCGGCGUGCUUAACACAUGCAAGUCGAACGGAAAGGCCCUGCUUUUGUAGAGUGCUCGAGUGGCGAACGGGUGAGUAACACGUGAGUAACCUGCCCUUGACUUUGGGAUAACUUCAGGAAACUGGGGCUAAUACCGGAUAGGAGCUCCUGCUGCAUGGUGGGGGUUGGAAAGUUUCGGCGGUUGGGGAUGGACUCGCGGCUUAUCAGCUUGUUGGCGGGGUAGUGGCUUACCAAGGCUUUGACGGGUAGCCGGCCUGAGAGGGUGACCGGCCACAUUGGGACUGAGAUACGGCCCAGACUCCUACGGGAGGCAGCAGUGGGGAAUAUUGCACAAUGGGCGGAAGCCUGAUGCAGCAACGCCGCGUGCGGGAUGACGGCCUUCGGGUUGUAAACCGCUUUCGCCUGUGACGAAGCGUGAGUGACGGUAAUGGGUAAAGAAGCACCGGCUAACUACGUG
rnacentral:rRNA from 1 species